GGACUAAAAACUGAAAAUUGUGUUGAGAACCUAGAUUAUUUUCAACCCAUCUAUGUCUACAACCCUGGUGAUAGAAACCAGAAACUUGAAGACCCUGGAAUAAAAAGUCAGGAGCUCACUGCCUUACCUGGUAUGAAAAUCCUUGAACCCACCCAAAUACCUGGAAUGAAAAUUUCAGGAACUUUCCCAUUACCUGG